rnacentral:rRNA from 1 species
GACGAACGCUGGCGGCGUGCUUAACACAUGCAAGUCGAACGGAAAGGCCUCUUUCGGGGGGUACUCGAGUGGCGAACGGGUGAGUAACACGUGAGUAACCUGCCCUUGACUUUGGGAUAACUUCAGGAAACUGGGGCUAAUACCGGAUAGGAGCUCCUGCUGCAUGGUGGGGGUUGGAAAGUUUCGGCGGUUGGGGAUGGACUCGCGGCUUAUCAGCUUGUUGGUGGGGUAGUGGCUUACCAAGGCUUUGACGGGUAGCCGGCCUGAGAGGGUGACCGGCCACAUUGGGACUGAGAUACGGCCCAGACUCCUACGGGAGGCAGCAGUGGGGAAAAUUGCACAAUGGGUGGAAGCCUGAUGCAGCAACGCCGUGUGCGGGAUGACGGCCUUCGGGUUGUAAACCGCUUUCGCUCAUGACGAAGCUUUGUGUGACGGUAGUGGGUAAAGAAGCACCGGCUAACUACGUG